rnacentral:rRNA from 1 species
CCUACGGUGGCAACAGUGGGGAAUAUUGCACAAUGGGGGGAACCCUGAUGCAGCGACGCCGCGUGAGUGAAGAAGUAUUUCGGUAUGUAAAGCUCUAUCAGCAGGGAAGAAAAUGACGGUACCUGACUAAGAAGCCCCGGCUAACUACGUGCCAGCAGCCGCGGUAAUACGUAGGGGGCAAGCGUUAUCCGGAUUUACUGGGUGUAAAGGGAGCGCAGACGGCUGUGCAAGUCUGGAGUGAAAGGCGGGGGCCCAACCCCCGGACUGCUCUGGAAACUGUAAAGCUGGAGUGCAGGAGAGGUAAGCGGAAUACCUAGGGUAGCGGUGAAAUGCGGAGAGAUUAGGAGGAACACCAGUGGCGAAGGCGGCUUACUGGACUGCAAAUGACGGUGAGGCUCGAAAGCGUGGGGAGCAAACAGGAUUAGAUACCCCAGGAGGC